rnacentral:rRNA from 1 species
CCUACGGGACGCAGCAGUGGGGAAUAUUGGGCAAUGGAGGAAACUCUGACCCAGCAACGCCGCGUGAAUGAUGAAGGUCUUCGGAUUGUAAAGUUCUUUUCUAAGGGAAGAAGAAAGUGACGGUCCCUUAUGAAUAAGCCUCGGCUAACUACGUGCCAGCAGCCGCGGUAAUACGUAGGAGGCAAGCGUUAUCCGGAAUGACUGGGCGUAAGGGGUGCGAAGGGGGUUUGACGAGGUGUUAGCGUAACUCCGGGGAUCACCCUCGGCACUACUACCAAAACUGUCGGACUUGAGUGCAGGAGGGGCAAAUGGAAUUCCGAGUGUAGCGGUGGAAUGCGUAGAUAUUAGGAGGAACACCAGUGGCGAAGGCGAUUUGCUGGACUGUAACUGACACUGAGGCACGAAAGCGUGGGGAGCAAACAGGAUUAGAUACCCCAGUAGUC